rnacentral:lncRNA from 1 species
GCAAAGUCUAUCAUGUGAACUCUUUGAAAACAAGGGACUGAUGUUCAGCAUUGAUUUGCCCUAAAACUGAGAGAUUAAUAUGUGAUGGAAAAUGAGAAUCCCCAAGAGGAAUGAGGAAGAACUUUACUGUAAGACCUUCUGAGGCCCAUGUGCCAGAUGACAACACUGAGACUGAGAGAGUCGGAAUGACUUGCUUUGGACCACAUAACUAGUAAAUAUCUGAGGCAGCAUUUGAAAUAGAGUCUCUUGGACUCUUGAAGGUCAGUAGUCGAUACUCCUGUCUUAUUGUGUGUCUCACUAAUCCU